rnacentral:rRNA from 1 species
UACGUAGGGGGCUAGCGUUGUCCGGAAUCAUUGGGCGUAAAGCGCGCGUAGGCGGCCCGAUAAGUCUGCUGUGAAAGUCCAGGGCUCAACCCUGGGAUGCCGGUGGAAACUGUCGGGCUAGAGUCCGGAAGAGGCGAGUGGAAUUCCUGGUGUAGCGGUGAAAUGCGCAGAUAUCAGGAGGAACACCGGUGGCGAAGGCGGCAUCCUGGACCGGUAUUGACGCUGAGGCGCGAAAGCUAGGGGAGCAAACGGG